CCCCCGUGGCAGGAUGGAGGAUGGAGAGCAGUCUCGUGCAUGGGCAUGACCGGCUGUGAGGACAAAGUACGUCAAGAAAGAUGUACCUGCAGAAAAGAAUCGGCCGAUGUAAAAGUAGACAAAAAAUGAAAUAGAUUCCAGAAACUCAGAACCUUCAAGGGAUGGAAAAGCAGUCCUUUGAAGCGCCAGUAGAAAGACAGAGGAUUUUAAAAAGCUUUGAGCAACAAAGACUCAGUAACACUUAGCAGUUGAAUAAAGCACCGAGUGCAAAACAUUUAAAUGUGGGCUCUUUGUUCAAGCUGGAGAAGUUCAACAUAGGGGCCUUGACACUGGGAAAGACGAGGAAGCCGGGUUACAAAACAAACGGGAAGUUCUGGGAGGUGUAGCCCAGAAAUAGCCGUGGUUAUGAUUAAUACAUAGAACUGAAAGUAAGUGUUAUAGAUUACUACCACAGGAUGUGUUUGAAGGAAUUAAAAUUCCUUGAGCUACCGAAAGCCUAGGAUAAAAAAAAAAAAAAAUAGUGGCUUUGACUGUUCAAACAAAGCAGGCAUCAGGGUGGUGGUUAUGGUGAAGUGGGAGGCAAGCUGAACCCCGCAUUCCUACCAGCACAGAACACCCGGGAUCUUCUCCUAUCUGUCAGCAGCCAAGGUGUUUGCAGGAAAUUCCAAGGAAACAGACAACUCUCAAUGGGCCGAGUACGCCGACUCCCCACCAAGUCUUUGACUCAUAAGAUCCGUGAGCACAUAUACCCUGUAGCAAAUUAAAAAAAGAGAAAAAAAGGAGAAAUAGUGCAACACCUUGGCACAUCCCUGUUUGUUGCAGCGACUCACAGUAGCCGAUUUGUGGAUGCAGCCUGGGAAAACACGGAGAGAGAGAAAGAAAAAGAAAGAGAGCAAGCCCUCCUCCCGGCAGAACACGGCCUUGCUGUAAUCCUCUCUGCCUCAUUCCUCCAUCCAGUCGGGACCCUGAGCAGUGCACAUGUGCCCAGCACGUUCUUCAAGGCUCCGAGGUCUGAGUUCGAGUCGCGGUCAGCUGUGUGGAGGAUGGAUGAACUUUUAGAAAGACACACCAAGAAGAAAGCUUUGUGCAGGCCCAUGGUGAACGGAAAACACGAUAUAAAUAGAAAAUGC